rnacentral:rRNA from 1 species
GACGAACGCUGGCGGCGUGCUUAACACAUGCAAGUCGAACGAAGAGCGAUGGAAGCUUGCUUCUAUCAAUCUUAGUGGCGAACGGGUGAGUAACGCGUAAUCAACCUGCCCUUCAGAGGGGGACAACAGUUGGAAACGACUGCUAAUACCGCAUACGAUCUAAUCUCGGCAUCGAGGAUAGAUGAAAGGUGGCCUCUACAUGUAAGCUAUCACUGAAGGAGGGGAUUGCGUCUGAUUAGCUAGUUGGAGGGGUAACGGCCCACCAAGGCGAUGAUCAGUAGCCGGUCUGAGAGGAUGAACGGCCACAUUGGGACGGAGACACGGCCCAGACUCCUACGGGAGGCAGCAGUGGGGAAUCUUCCGCAAUGGACGAAAGUCUGACGGAGCAACGCCGCGUGAGUGAUGACGGCCUUCGGGUUGUAAAGCUCUGUUAAUCGGGACGAAAGGCCUUCUUGCGAACAGUUAGAAGGAUUGACGGUACCGGAAUAGAAAGCCACGGCUAACUACGUG